AAUUGUAAAUAAAAAUAUGAUGACGAUGGGAUUGAAAAAAAAUUAAAACGCGACUUUAAUCUAAAUUUCUUAAUACGAGUUAUGAAGAUAUUGUGCGCAUGUGAAAAGAUUAAAACAUGUAUUUUAUCUCAUUUUCGUGGCACGAGUAAAUUGUGAUUUUUUUUUUAAUUAAAUCUUAUUUUAAACGCAAAAACACAAUCAACAGCUUCGGUCAACGAAAUGAAAGAUAAUUAUUCGCGUUUGCACAUUCGACAUGCUGUGCUCCGAAUUAUUGCGAUGUAUUAUCACAAAAGCGAUUGUAGCAUCAUAUUCUGCCCAUCUCAAUUCGAGUAGAUCAAAACGGCGUGUGAAUUAUAUUUGUUUUGUUUUUUUUUUUUUUAAUUCUUGAGAUCCAUAUAAUAAACUUGAUCGCAUGCACAUGCCACAAAUGAAUCUCUUAAUUACCACACGUUUAUGUAAAAUCUAUUAAUAUAAUAUAUCUUUGACUUGACGAUUGGUAAUUUAAAAUGCAUAGGGAUCGAGAGAGAAAGAAAGAGAGAGCCGAGGAUAACGUCAAAAAGCCGAGCAGACUCGUGCGUUCUUUCGUAUUAAGUAGGCAAUUAGGCACUUAAUUCAUGAUCGCGGGCGAACAAUGAUUCUGGAGGAAGAGCGGAGAGCCGGAGUUUACGCUUAACAAAAUGCCAGGCAAAACGAGGGAAAAAAAUGUUUUGGUGCUAAUACAGAAGACAUACAAGCACAAAAACACACGACUUGGAUUUGGAAUAAUACUUUGAAUGAAAAAUAUAAAUUAAAGCGCUAGAGAGUAAUCUUUGACCGUCAUACGUCAGUCAAUUCUCUCCGAGUUGCAAAAGUUUGUGCAUUUCCUGAAAGAAACAUUAGCGCAAAAUGUUUGCGUUAUUUAAGAUGGAAUUAUUGAAUUAACAAAGUAAUAUAGAGAAUUGUACAUGUUACAAGAGAGCGUUAAUAAAAUUUAGAACGAGUGGCUCAUAUACCUUUCGUUACAAGAGCGCAAGAGUAAACACGUAAAAAUAGCCGUGCGAGCACAGAUUCAGAUGUUUGAAAAAAAAAUACAAGUCAAAAAUUAAUCGAUUCGCUACUCCCUUCGAUAUUUUAUGUCUGCGUUGGACCAGGAUCUCGUCACAAUGUUCGAGGUUCCAAGAGUAAUCUCUUAACGACUUAACAACCGUAAAUCUCCUCGACACGCCACGGAGCGAAGAUUCGACGCGCCUACUUCACACAAUUAUCGGACCCAUCGCUUCGGCCGGCAUCAGGUAGAAGCAGAGAUAGGAUAUAGGCACUCGUCCUUUGGUCUCAAUCGUGAUGGAUGGAGUUUUGAGAAUGCUCUCGUCGAACGAUUUCAAGCGAAAAAAAUUGUAAUAAUACUUUUUAGUCCCGGCCUUCCACGUGAAGUUCACGUGCGACACCUCACUUGGAAUUAUCGGCAGUUUACUCUCGAAUUCUGGAUCCAAGAGGUAUCGCGACGCGUCGCCCGAGGAAAAGAAA